rnacentral:rRNA from 1 species
GAUUAGAUACCCUGGGAGUUCCCGCCCGUAAAACGAAGUUCGACCUUGGAGGUUGGUGCCCCUGAAGGGGGUGGGCUUUCCGGAGCUAAACGCGUUUAAGUCGACCGCCCUGGGGGAGUACGGGCCGCAAGGUUAAAACUCAAAUGAAUUGACGGGGGGGCCGCACAAGCGGUGGAGCAUGUGGUUUAAUUCGAUGCAACGCGAAGAACCUUACCUGGCCUUGACAUCCAGAGAAACUUAGCAGAGAUGCUUUGGUGCCUUCGGGAACUUUUAGACAGGUGCUGCAUGGCUGUCGUCAGCUCGUGUUGUGAAAUGUUGGGUUAAGUCCCGCAACGAGCGCAACCCUUAUCCUUUGUUGCCAGCGGUUCGGUCGGGAACUCAAAGGAGACUGCCGGUGAUAAACCGGAGGAAGGUGGGGAUGACGUCAAGUCAUCAUGGCCCUUACGGCCAGGGCUACACACGUGCUACAAUGGCGCAUACAAAGAGAAGCGACCUCGCGAGAGCAAGCGGACCUCAUAAAGUGCGUCGUAGUCCGGAUUGGAGUCUGCAACUCGACUCCAUGAAGUCGGAAUCGCUAGUAAUCGUAGAUCAGAAUGCUACGGUGAAUACGUUCCCGGGCCUUGUACACACCGCCCGUCACACCAUGGGAGUGGGUUGCAAAAGAAGUAAGUAGCUUAAUCUUCGGGAGGGCGCGUAGACGUUACGAGGUUUAGACCCCCCAGUUUCUC